UAUACCAGUCACACAAUACACGAGGCAUACCAAGACUAUAUAGUGAUCCAAAAACGUGGAUCUCGGGUUCGUGAAGAAGUAGAACAUGGAGAGGUAAACCAAUGGCUUGACAAGUGUAUUGAAACAGUCUAUUGUAUCUUUGGCAAGGAAACUAGCUAAGCUACUCAUCCCAGCCGCACUUUCUCUCCAGUAAUGUACCUUGUCUAGUGAGAAUGAUCUUAGAGCUGCUAUUUUGCACAGAAGAGCUGACAUAUGAAGGGGAAAAAAAGACUAAUAAGAAAAGAAUAUGAAGAAAGUUAAGUAUUAGAAGGAAACCAACUUACAAACGGCGAUGAUAGUGUAGGUAUAACCAGGUGUUCCAAAGUUCUCAUCACUUUGUUUGAUCAGUGAUCCUAAACAAGCUCCAGCUAGCAAUAAGAUCAAGUAGUCUGUGGCUUGUAACUUAGCUUCUCUCAUUCUCUGCUUAGCUAUCCUGUAAAAUCAGAAACACUUUAGCUCUAUCUUAAGAUAGUGUCGUGGAGAUUAAGAAAAUAAGUACCUUCCAAGGAAAUAUUUGUAUUGCAGCCACAUAGAAGGGGUUCUUCUGUAGGAUAAAUCUCUGGUCUUUAAGAAGUUGUGUCUUAUUUUAUCACCACGCAACCUGAAAUUACUCGUUACAUCUCCCAACAGCUCUCUGACAAAUGUCGGUUCUGCACUGUAGUUGUCGUUUUUCCGCAUAUCUAAUGGAACCGAGAAACCUUCGUGAAGCAUCCACCUCUGAGGAAGCUCUUUGAUGCUAACAUCAGAGUUCAGGUUGGUUACAAUCCCUUCCAGAACGUCUAUGUAGUAGUCAGGAGGGUUGAUACGCUCUGGUACAAUGAUUCCAAGACCCGAGAAGUAUUCCUCGACGUUCUCUACUGGUCCGUGGUAAACAGUAAGGCCACCUUUCGCUAGAAGUACUAGAUCAUUGAACGUUUUGAACAAUGUAUAACUGCAAUACAGAAAGAUUAUGAACUUAGAAAGCUUCAUGACAAUUAAAAAGACAUUUAUGAUUUGAUUUACCUCGGUUGGUGAACAACCAUGCAGAUAUUGACUCCCUCAAGGGCCUCAUGCUUAAGUGCUUUAAGAAGAAGCUGUGAUGAGGCACUGUCCAAACCAGAAGUAGGUUCAUCCAAGAACAAAAUAGAAGGCUCCAUUGCCAUCUCCAAACCAACGUUCACUCGUUUCCUCUGCCCUCCUGAGAUUCCACGUUUCUCUACCGUACCAACUAGUGAGCUUCUCACACCUUGUAGCCCCAAAGAGUCGAUGACUCUCUCGACCACAAGCACUUUUUCGGCUUUUGAUUGCCCAGCAGGUAAUCUGCAUCUAGCAUGGAACCAGAUGUUUUCCUCAACAGUCAAGUUUCCAUGGACAAUGUCAUCUUGUGGCACAAACCCAAUAAUCUUCUUAAAUGAGUGGAUUGAUAAUUGCUUCCCGUUUAUAAGCAACAAACCACUCAGAUUGCACCCAACAGCUUUCCCAGCCAAAGCAGAAAGAAGACUUGUCUUUCCUGCUCCUGAUGGACCCAUCACAGCUGUGAUCCGACCUGGUUUCAUGGUUCCUGUCACACAUCUCAACAGAUGCUUACCAUUGGAUUUCAAGGUAAGAGUUAAAUCUUGGAAAGAAAGCUCCAAGAGGGUCCUCCUCUUCAUCUCAGAGUAAGUAGCCAUGUUAACUAUUCCUGAAAAGGUAAGAUCGCUAUUCUCUAGCUCCAUGGCUUUCUCCUUCUCGAUCUGAUUAUACGCAUACUUUAAGAUUUGGCUCUGUGAAUUCUUGAUUCUGGGACCUUUACCUCUCUUUCCACUUGGUCUUUUGUUACUUCCGCCAGCUGCAUCAUCCUCUAUCUCAAAGCUAGGUUGCACAGCUGAGGAGGAACUCGCAGGACUUGAAGACGAGUCCACACGAUCCAACAUCUUGUGAGUUUCUCCAUCUUUUUUGGUUCUUUUACCCGAGAGCGUCUGACUUAUUUGCUCACUUAUCUCAGUUACAUGCUUCUUAGCAGCAGUUCUAGCAACUUUCCAUCUCUGGUUGGCUUUAGCUUUCUUCACAGCUGCUUCCCUUGACUUCGCCUGCCUCCUCUCCCUUGUUGUUAGGAUUUGAUCAGAACAGUUGUAUAUAAUGAGUAGAAUAGUGACCACACCACACUGCACAAACACAUUGAAAGCCACUCUUUUUGUCAAUAAUCUUUUGGAUGACUAAUAAUAUAACUGAAUUAAAAAAAGACUUACAAUAACCAAAAUCCCAAAUGCAUGCAGAUUUGCGGAGUUGGAAUUGCAAGAAGUCAACUUAAAGCAAGCUGGAAGACAAUAAGUACAUGAAUAGAGAGACUAAGACAGAUUUAAAAUAAAAACUUCACUAUGAUAAUUCUGAAAGACUUACGUUUCUUAGAUGUAGAACCCAUACGACAGUAGUGCCUGGAUCAUACAUACAUAAUAAGAGUAUAGUUAGUUACUUUAAUAGAUAGAGAGCAUUGGUAAUAAUAACACAACUUUGAUUAUUAUUUGUCACAAUAGAAUGGAGUUUUAAGGGGACAAAGGUUGAAUUACCCACUACCACAAGGUAAUUUUAGAGUGGUCGUUGGACAAUAAUAUCCCGCGGAACAGAAUAAUUCGUCGCUUCUACUGUGAUCGGCCCAUACAUUUGCACCUCCACAAGUGUGGUUUAGUUGUCCUGGUGGUAGUUGAUAAGCAUACCUAUAUAAAUUGCAAUAUUUCAACAUCUUAUCCCACAAUAGCAUAACAUGUCUACUUAAAAAAAAGAAAGUAAAAACUCACGGGUCGCAUAAGCCUGUUGUCUCAUUAAGGGUAGCUAAGGGGCAAUAAGAACCACGAGGGCAAGCUAUUUUCAAAACAGAAGAGAAAAUUUAGACGAUAUUGAAAGAAGGUUAGAGAUAUCAAUGGAAAAAAAUAAAGAGAGUUUUGGAUUUGCUUACGUAUCAUACAAGUGAGUCCGUUGGGGCAGAAGAAGCCCUCGCAGCAAGGCAUACAGUUACUUGUUCUUUCUGGAAGGUCAUCUUGUUCGGUUAGAUGAUCCCGGCUGCAGGCCCAGCCAGGCUCACAACCAGGGACCCAUGAUGUCAAGUUGCAAUUCCGAUUCGGUUUCGGUUUCAAGUACCCAGGGUUAUCCGUUUUCAACAGGAACUCAUCUGAAUAGAACUUCAUCUCUGCUGCUGUGCAGAUACGGCUAACAAAAUCACCUGUUUCCAAACACCAAAACAAAGUCAAACAAAUGUGAAACCAUAAGAAACAAGAUUAUACAAUCUAAUCAUCAAAUCGUCGCUCUUUACAUCUUCUAUCAACCAACAAGCAAUAAUAACUAAGCAAGAAGAAGUUGGUUACCUUCGGUUUUGUUAAAGCAAGAACGCAGGAAAUCCAAGUUGGCGGAGAAAUUAAAAGCUUUGUCCCAAUCAGCAGUCCUGACAACAGUGAAGGAUUAUCUCAAGACAUUUGUUAACUGAAACAAUACAUUUCACUAUGUCAAAGCAUCAAGUUGACCUCUUUAUGUAGUACAUAUCUUAGUAUUCAAACAACACACAAAAGCUCAAGUUUUGUAGAAAACGAGACAUUUGAUUGCAACAAAUGAUACAAGUAUCCAAAACUAGAAACCAAAGCAAUGAAAGCUUACAGGUCUUUGACGCAAAACUUUGCUUUAGUAGCGAGCUCUUGAUUUAGAGCAGCAGUGAUAUUGUAGAGACUAUGGUAAACCAUCUGUGUAAAAGCUGGAUUGUUGAAGUCAUUUGUGUCCUCAAACUGACCAUAACCAACAUAACAAACCAACCAAAGAACUAACACCACCAAUCUGAGAUUAUAUCCGUGUUUGAGCCAGUUUCGCCGGUUUACACUCAUCUUGAGAAUCAAUAACCUUAAAAGAAAGACACAUGCGAGAGAGAGAGAUUAUUAACUAAACCAAAUUAACUAAUCUUGAUCUUGGGUUUAUUAAAACAAUCUAAACAAUCUUUUUUAUCUAAAUUCAAGAACUUGAAGACCCAGAAACUCAAAAACCGCUUCUUUUCAUUUCAAGUACUUUAACUUUGUUCUACAGAACUCAUAAUCAACAGAGUAUAAGAAAGAAACUUACUUAAUAAGGCAAUGAAGUUUCAUGAAAUGAGAGCUAAGGAAUCCAUGAAAAUGCUUGCUUCUUGGAGACGGUUCUUUAUAGAGAAAUGUAGCAAGCUAUUGAGAUAUUUGUGAGUUAAUCUGCCAACAUUGACUCUGGAGUCUCCUCACGUCUAGACAAGAAGACCAAUAAGAAGAAAGGUAGUGGGGUUUAAUGGUUCAUUAGGACAAAGAACUUAAGGACAUACUAGGAGGCUUCCUGUGCAAUUUCACAAUUAAUGUUCAAUAUCAUUUUCUCAUUUCAAUAGAAAACGAAGUGUGGAAAAACUAAUAAAUAUUAAAUUUUAUAAAACCCCUAAUUGAAUAAGCCCCCUACAGACUGCGAGUUGUUGUAUAUGUUAAAAUCAACUGGUCCCAUAAAUUUAAAUGUUUAGAAGAUUAAAUAGAAUUUUCCUUACAGGAUAGAAUUUGAAACUGUUUUGGUCUUUUCGAAAUGGUAUUGAUCCAUAAUCAACUUUCUUCCACCAAGUUGGUAGGCUCGCUUAGAACAUACUUAGGCAGCUCAUACUUAGCACCUGUGGAGUAAGAGUAGGUACUAGUUAGGAGUAUGUAACAAAUAGGAACACAGAAAAAUCACUGAGGGAAGUGAAAAAGAUUUGAAUGUUUAACCUCUCUCAUCAUAGCAGGUAGUGAGAUCAUUGUUCUGAACAAUGACUCCUGCACUGUCCACGAUUGCUUGCGCAAGAGAUAUGUCAGCUUCAGCUGCAGCACGAAGUGCAUCCCAUAAAUCUGCGAUUAACCAAGUGUAAGAUCCAAACAUGUGGGUAUCAAGACCAGAAGUAAACAUCCAAAAAGAAACACAGAAAGACAAGACUUCUAUGGUUUCUCUUAUUCCUCACUGAUGAUACUGACAAAAAUCUAAUGAAGUUCCUUAGCUCAGUUGAGAAUGGUUCAAAAAAUGAAAUUUAUCAAGCUCAUGUAACACUGAUGAGGAAUACCACAAGGGUCCUUAGCUCAGUGGUAGAGCAAUUGACUGCAGAUCAAUAGGUCUCUGGUUCGAACCCUGUAGAGCCCUUAUAAAUCUAACUUUUUCACUACUUUACAACAUCUAAGACUAAUAUCAUUCCUUUUUACAAGUCAUUCAAUCAAUGCCUAUACCAUAAUCUUUAUAUCUCACUGAUCACUGUGUAACAGAAGGGUUCUUAGCUCAGUGGUAGAGCAAUUGACUGCAGAUCAAUAGGUCUCUGGUUCGAACCCUGUAGAGCCCUUAUAAAUCUCUGUUUUUAACUUUCUCCCCCCUACCCCUUUUCAACAAAUCCUUAGUUUAUUUUGAAUAAAAUGAAAACACAUCACUCAGGCAAGCCAAAGAAACAAGUAUUCAAAUUUUACCUUUGGUACCGCCAUAGUGAGGAGCAGUGUCCCAAAACUCUUCUCUCAUUUUCACAAGCUCAGCUUUACUGAUCGGUUGAGUAUGCUUCCACGGUUCCGGCUUCCUAAUUCUCUUCACUGCCACUGUUAACAAAACAACGAGUUAUCAAAAACAAAGACAACCUCCAUCUGCUGCCAUAUAAAACUCUUACAAAACAAAGACAGUGUAUGUGCACCACUCAUCAUACUUGUGCUCAAUUAAGGAUUCCAGAAGGGAAAUUAAUUCGCAGAAACUAGCCUUAGAUUCAGCAGUCCAUAAGAGGGAUGCCAGUCAUAAUGAGGGAUGAUACUUACUAUUAAGUUAAAAGCUUCCAGAUGAAGCCGAGUCAACAAAAUGUUAUAUGUGUUGUAAGAUCUCUCGCAUUGCCAGGUGAUGCAAGCAAAUAUAUACACAGAGACUACAUCUGAACACUAUGUAUGGUUCUAUUUCUACCUCUUAGGGUUGAAAGACUGAACAUUUCAACAUAUAAAUCAAGGGUUUCUCCUAUCUAAAAAUAGAAAGUCUGCAUCUUUUAUCUUCUCUAACGAAACAUUAAAAAUGAUUCCUUUUUCCGCCCAACCCAGCUAAUGAAAGAGAUAAACUAAAAGAGAUUCGAGAGAUGGUUAGUGUGAUCUCUCACCUUCUGCUUGUGACUGCGUGGAUCCAGCACAACCCAUUUGUAUGUUCUUGCUUCUUUCUGUCGCUCAAGUAACAAAAGUCUCUCUCGGAAACAGACAACAAUGAUUCCGACAAAACCCUUCACCGAAGCCAAAUCAAAGUCGUAAACUUUCCUUUCAAAAAUGAGAUUUUUUUGGAAUCUUGAGACAAAGGAGAAGAAGAAGGAGACCGAGUUGAAGAUGAUGAAUCUCGGUGGUGUUAAUGAUUGAGACAUUGUUUGUUUUGAUAAAUAAAAAGGGAAAGGGUUUUGGCUUCACACCUUCAAAGGGUUCUAAAUCCAAUUCCAGCCACCAAUCACUUUUUGCCACGUCAUCGUUAUUAUUCUUUGAUAUUGAUCAUGAAUGAAUGAUUGGUCAAGUUAAAUCAUAUCUCAGUUUGUGAAACACAAGAGCAUCACUUUAAAAAGGAGAUGUUACUUAUCUUCUGAUUACUGAUGGAAGAAACUGCUCAACUUUUGUUAGCAAUGGAGCAAGGAUUGUUACUUUACCAUAAGUCGUGUUUGUCCAAUACAAAGAAGAAGAAAGAAAGCUUGUUCCCAGCUAAGAAACAAGUCAAGCAUUUAAAAGAGCUUAUAUAUCAGCUAAUUAAACACCAACAAAUUAAUAUCACAAAAGACCUGUAACAAACCCUUCUAACAAGACAAUGAACUAAGACGAACACAACACUAUAGUCUUCUUGGUUGAAUAUAACCAAAAACUCGCAGAACCAUGAAACUCUUCUCUCCUCCUACCUCCAAGCUUCAUAGCCCUGCGAGAACUAAAACCGUAAUGAAAACAAAACCUUUUGUCUUUCACCUCUUUUGAAGUAUAAUCAUCCCCACAAAGGCAAUCAUACGAGUGACCCCACCAAUGAGAAUCAAUAUCAUUAUACACAGAUUCCAUUCAUUAAUGUCGUAUCCACUCUUCAUUAGUGAUCCACAUCGUGUGAUCAUCCAUACUCCAUAGUACCUGAAACCCCAAAAACAAAAAAAAACAUCUGAUAUACAAAAUCAAACCAUACUCCAUAAUGUUUUGGAUGGCCUUACUUUUGAGCAUUUCCAAUAACAAAGGCUUGCAAAGCCCACUUUGGAUAACACAAAUCAGCUAUGAUCUUCAUAGCUUCACUAUCCUUUGGUUGAGUUGCAACAAGAGUUAAAACCACUGGAAGAAGAACAGAAAACUGGAAACGACACCAACAUGUUUUUGUCAAUUUAGACCAAUAAGAUUCUUUCUCUUAAAACCAAAAUGAAAAAACUCACCAGCUGAGCAGAGCCAGGUUGGAGGAAGAUAGCCAACGCAUAUGCUAUACCAGUCACACAAUAUACAAGACACACCAAGACGAUAUAGUUAUCGAAAAACGUCGAUCUCGGGUUAGUGAAGAAGUAGAACAUGGAGAGAUAAACCAAUGGCUUGACAAGUGUGUUGAAACAGUCCAUUGUGUCUUUGGCAAGGAAACAAGCCAAGCUACUCAUCCCUGAAGCACUUUCUCUCCAGUAAUGUAACUUGUCUAGUGAGA
rnacentral:lncRNA from 1 species